rnacentral:rRNA from 1 species
GAUGAACGCUGGCGGCGUGCCUAACACAUGCAAGUCGAGCGGCAGCGAGGGGUGCUUGCACCCUGUCGGCGAGCGGCGGACGGCUGAGUAACGCGUGGGAACGUGCCCCAAAGUGAGGAAUAACUGCCCGAAAGGGUAGCUAAUACCGCAUAUUAUCUUCGGAUCAAAGGAUUUAUCCGCCUUGGGAGCGGCUCGCGUCGGAUUAGGUAGUUGGUGAGGUAAUGGCUCACCAAGCCGACGAUCCGUAGCUGGUCUGAGAGGAUGACCAGCCAGACUGGAACUGAGACACGGUCCAGACUCCUACGGGAGGCAGCAGUGAGGAAUCUUCCACAAUGGGCGAAAGCCUGAUGGAGCAACGCCGCGUGCAGGACGAAGGCCUUCGGGUUGUAAACUGCUUUUAUAAGUGAGGAAUAUGACGGUAACUUAUGAAUAAGGAUCGGCUAACUACGUG